rnacentral:tRNA from 1 species
GGGGAUUUAGCUCAGUGGUAGAGCACUUGCCUAGCAAGCACAAGACCCUGGGUUCGAUCCUCAGCUCCG